rnacentral:rRNA from 1 species
UACGAAGGGUGCAAACGUUGCUCGGAAUUAUUGGGCGUAAAGCGCACGUAGGCGGUAUUGCAAGUCGGAUGUGAAAUCCCUCGGCUCAACCAAGGAAGUGCAUCCGAAACUGCCGUACUUGAGUACUGAAGAGGGUCGCGGAAUUCCCGGUGUAGAGGUGAAAUUCGUAGAUAUCGGGAGGAACACCAGUGGCGAAGGCGGCGACCUGGGCAGAUACUGACACUGAGGUGCGAAAGCGUGGGGAGCAAACAGG